GAUGAACGCUGGCGGCGUGCCUAAUACAUGCAAGUCGAGCGAACGGACGAGAAGCUUGCUUCUCUGAUGUUAGCGGCGGACGGGUGAGUAACACGUGGAUAACCUACCUAUAAGACUGGGAUAACUUCGGGAAACCGGAGCUAAUACCGGAUAAUAUUUUGAACCGCAUGGUUCAAAAGUGAAAGACGGUCUUGCUGUCACUUAUAGAUGGAUCCGCGCUGCAUUAGCUAGUUGGUAAGGUAACGGCUUACCAAGGCAACGAUGCAUAGCCGACCUGAGAGGGUGAUCGGCCACACUGGAACUGAGACACGGUCCAGACUCAUAAGGGAGGCAGCAGUAGGGAAUCUGCCGCAAUGGGCGAAAGCCUGACGGAGCAACGCCGCGUGAGUGAUGAAGGUCUUCGGAUCGUAAAACUCUGUUAUUAGGGAAGAACAUAUGUGUAAGUAACUGUGCACAUCUUGACGGUACCUAAUCAGAAAGCCACGGCUAACUACGUG
rnacentral:rRNA from 1 species